rnacentral:lncRNA from 1 species
CGCUGAUGCUGUGCAAGGACAGCGUUACUUGAGAGAUGGCAGAGAGAGCCUACACCACCUCACCCGUCUGAAAAGAGCAUGGUACGGUUGUGCAUUCACUUGGAUGAAAUCAACAUCAGAAGACUGCUUUAAGCCAUCUUGCUGGGAGGCAGAAGGAUUGUUGUUUCCAUGCCCUGUGAGAAGAGGAAUGGGAAGUUCCAGUUCUCAGAAUGUUUCUUCAGUUUUUCUCUUACAAGGAUAUAUUUUUUGUGAAGGGAGUUAUCCAACCAUGUGGUCCUCUGAUAGAAGGGACUGGACGGGACAACUCCAGAAACACCUUCCUGUUUUAUGUUUCCAAAGCAUCUUCUCUUCAGAGAGAGAAAUGGAAAAGGAGAGAGACAAGGUGUUGGGUUACUGGCUUCCUUCGGAAAGCAAGGAUGGUUCUCCUCAACGGUAGGAGCUUCAUACGUAUUUAUUUGUUUGUUACUGAAGUAAAGCCUUUUCUCUUUUUAAGUCAGCAAGACUGGUGCUUUCUGUGCUGUAGAAAAGACUCGGCAGAAAGCCCAAGACGACAUUGUUCAUGGGCUUGGGGGUGGAUGUUUGUUUUACAUUUCUCUCUGGGAUCUUUCUGUUUGUCUUUUAAAUAA